rnacentral:lncRNA from 1 species
CGAGGAGCUUCACUAUGUGGAACCUUGCCUGAAUGGGACAUUGGUGCAAGCUGACCGGACAAAUAAAGAGCACUUCAGGGAGCAUCUGGACAAACUUUUUGCCAAAGGAAUCGGAAUGCUGCAUAUAGCUCUGAAUGAGGCCUUCAACAUUCUUAAUGAUGUAAGCUCCUCUUGAGUUGCCUUUUUCAUCUGUAGGAAAAUGUAUUUGUUUCCUUAAAUGAGGAUUGG